rnacentral:rRNA from 1 species
AGGAAUUGGCGGGGGAGCACCGCAACGGGAGGAGCGUGCGGUUUAAUUGGAUUCAACACCGGAAAACUCACCAGGGGAGACCAUCACAUGAAGGCCAGGCUGAUGACUUUGCCUGAUUCUUGGAGAAGUGGUGCAUGGCCAUCGUCAGUUCGUACUGUAAAGCGUUCUCUUAAGUGAGAUAACGAACAAGACCCUCACUUGCAAUUGCUACUUCGAUCUCCGGAUCGGAGGCACAUUGCCGGGACCGCUGACGCUAAGUCAGAGGAAGGGGAGGUCAACGGUAGGUCAGUAUGCCCUGAAUCUCCUGGGCUACACGCGCGCUACAAAGGGCGGGACAAUGGGUCCCGACGUCGAAAGGCGGAGGUAAUCUCGAAACCCGUCNGUAGUUCGGACUGAGGGUNGUAACUCACCCUCACGAAGUGGAUUCCGUAGUAAUCGCGAAUCCCCAACUCGCGGUGAAUAUGCCCNUGCUCCAGUCUCAC